GAUGAACGCUGGCGGCGUGCCUAACACAUGCAAGUCGAACGAAGCUUGACGGAUGAUUUCUUCGGAAUGAAACCAGAUAUGACUUAGUGGCGGACGGGUGAGUAACACGUGAGCAACCUGCCUUUCAGAGGGGGAUAACGGCUGGAAACGGUCGCUAAUACCGCAUGAUGUGUUCGGAUGGCAUCAUCUGAACAUCAAAGAUUUAUCGCUGAAAGAUGGGCUCGCGUCUGAUUAGAUAGUUGGUGGGGUACGGCCUACCAAGUCUACGAUCAGUAGCCGGACUGAGAGGUUGAACGGCCACAUUGGGACUGAGAUACGGCCCAGACGACUACGGGAGGCAGCAGUGGGGAAUAUUGCACAAUGGGGGAAACCCUGAUGCAGCAACGCCGCGUGAAGGAUGACGGUUUUCGGAUUGUAAACUUCUUUUCUUAGUGACGAAGACAGUGACGGUAGCUAAGGAAUAAGCAUCGGCUAACUACGUG
rnacentral:rRNA from 1 species